UGGCGCUUUCAUUAUAAUGGAAUAUUGGCCUUCAGAUGUGUUCAGGCCAGGACUCUUAUCGAAAAUGUGAAGUUUGGGGAAGAUCGAACAAAUUAUGCCUGAGUUACAACAACUUCUCUUGCUGUGGCGAGACAUCAAAAUUUGUCAUGACGCCAUGGACAUGCCCUUUAACAAAAACUCAAGAUCUUUACAAGUUAACAUUGCACAGGCCUUUAGAUAAGACUGACUACAAAAAAUACAUUAAUCUCAAAAAAAUUCUAGGAGUAGUUUGUCACAGCAUACAACAUGUCACUUCCUGUUGCCAGCAGGUGGCGCUAUGACUAUAACUGAAUAUGGGCAUGUAGAUCUGUUAAGGGCAGAAGUCUUAUCUAACAUGUGAAGUUUGGGGCAGAUUGGACAUUGUAAGAGUAACAGCAACUUCCUUUUUCAUGGCGAAACAUCGAAUUUUGUCAGGCCGCCAUGGACACGCCCUUUAACGAAACCUCAAAAUCUUCGCAAUUUAACAUCGCAAACACCUUUAGAUUUAACUGACCAAGUUUGGUGUUGAUCUGAAUAUAUCUCUAGGAGUAGUUUGUUAAAGUACAACCCCUGAAAAUGGCAAAAACAAUGCCAAUUUUGCAGAGAAAAUUCUAAAUAACCGACUUCCUGAUGGGAUUCGGAUUUCGUACCAAGAGACUUUUUUGUAGGUAUUGGUGUGUUACAUGUGUGUACCGAUUUUUGUACAUGUACGUGAAAAAUAGCUCGAGGCGCACUCCAUUGAAUGUGCAUAUGCACUCCGUUGAAAGUUUAUAGGUGGCGCUAUCGAGCCAUUUUGCCACACCCAAUGGAAUGUUGGCCUUCAGAUCUGUUCAGGCCAGGACCCUUAUCACACAUGUGAAGUUUGGGCAAGAUCGGACACUUUAUGCCUGAGUUAUAACAUCUUUUAUUCCCACGACGAGACGUCGAACUUCGUCACGGCGCCAUGGACACGCCUUUUAACAAAAACUCAAGAUCUUCACAACUAAACAUCACACAGGUCUUUAGAUUAGACUGACCACAAAAAAGACAUUGAUGUCAUAAAAUUUCUAGAAAUAGUCUGUCACAGUGUAAAAUAUGUCACUUCCUGUUGCCAAUAGGUGGCGCUAUGACUAUAACUGAAUAUGGGCAUGUAGAUCUGUUCAGGUCAAGAGUCUUAUCCAACAUGUGAAGUUUGGGGCAGAUUGGACAUUGUAUGUCUGAGUUACAGCAACUUCCUUUUUCAUGGCGAAACAUCGAAAUUUGUCAGGCCGCCAUGGACCCGCCCUUUAACGAAACCUCAAGUCCUUCGCAAUUUAUUAUCGCAAAGGGCUUUAGAUUACACUGACCAAGUUUGGUGUUGAUCUGAAUAAAUCUCUAGGAGGAGUUCGUUAAAGUACAACCCCUGAAAAUGGCAAAAACAACACCAAUUUUGAAGGGAAAAUUCAAAAUAACCGACUUCCUGUUGGGAUCCGGAUUUCGUACCAAGAGACUUUUUUGUAGGUAUUGGUGUGUUACAUGUGUGUACCAAUUUUUGUACAUGUACGUGAAACAUAGCUCGAGGCGCACUCCGUUGAAUGUGUAUAGGUGGCGCUAUAGAGCCAUUCUGCCACACCCGCUGGAAUAUUGGCCUGCAGAUCUGUUCAGGCCAGGACUCUUAUCACACAUGUGAAGUUUGGGGAAGAUCGGACAUUUUAUGCCUGAGUUAUAACAUCUUUUAUUCCCAUGGCGAGACAUCGAACUUCGUCGCGGCGCCAUGAACAAGCCUUUUAACGAAAACUCAAGAUCUUCACAAUUGAACAUCGCACAGGCCUUUAGAUUAGACUGACCACAAAAAAGACAUUGAUGUCAUAAAAUUUCUAGGAGUAGUUCGUCGCAGCGUAAAAUAUGUCACUUCCUGUUGCCAAUAGGUGGCGCUAUGACUAUAACUGAAUAUGGGCAUGUCAAUCUGUUCAGGUUCGGAGUCUCA